rnacentral:rRNA from 1 species
CACGUAGGCGGAUAUUUAAGUCAGGGGUGAAAUCCCGGGGCUCAACCUCGGAAUUGCCUUUGAUACUGGGUGUCUUGAGUAUGAGAGAGGUGUGCGGAACUCCGAGUGUAGAGGUGAAAUUCGUAGAUAUUCGGAAGAACACCAGUGGCGAAGGCGACACACUGGCUCAUUACUGACGCUGAGGCUCGAAAGCGUGGGGAGCAAACA